CAGCCGCCACGGUAAUACGUAGGGUGCGAGCGUUAAUCGGAUUUACUGGGCGUAAGGCGUGCGCAGGCGGCCCGUUAAGGCAGGUGUGAAAUCCCUGGGCUCAACCUAGGAAUUGCGCUUGUGACUGGCGGGCUCGAGUACGGUAGAGGGGGGUGGAAUUCCUGGUGUAGCAGUGAAAUGCGUAGAGAUCAGGAGGAACACCGAUGGCGAAGGCAGCCCCCUGGGCCUGUACUGACGCUCAUACACGAAAGCGUGGGGAGCAAACAGGAUUAGAUACCCGCGUAGUCCCUGUCUCUUAUAC
rnacentral:rRNA from 1 species